AGUGAACGCUGGCGGUAGGCCUAACACAUGCAAGUCGAACGAGAGGCGGACGGGUGAGUAAUGUGUGGGAAACUGCCCGAUGGAGGGGGAGAACAACAGGAAACGGUAGCUAAUACCGCAUACCAUCGGAUGUGCCCAGAUGGGAUUAGCUGGUGGGUGAGGUAACGGCUCACCUAGGGGACGCUCCCUAGCUGGUAUGAGAGGAUGACCAGCCACACUGGACCUGAGACACGGUCCAGACUCCUACGGGAGGCAGCAGUGGGGAAUAUUGCACAAUGGGCGCAAGCCUGCGGCAGCCAUGCCGCGUGUAUGAAGCAGGCCUUCGGGUUGUAAAGUACUUUCAGCGGGGAGGCGUUACCCGCAUAAGAAGCACCGGCUAACUCCGUGCCAGCCGCCGCGGUAAUAC
rnacentral:rRNA from 1 species